UAACUUGUAUGAAAAAUAUGGCUCUGGCAGGACAUAAUUUCACUGUUUUCAAACAAAUAGGGCCUGAGCCACAUGACCUGAAGAGUGCAGACUAUACAAACACAAACAAGGCAAAACACAUUGUGAUCCGUGUAUGACCAGAUUUGGAUUUCCAAACCUUGAGUCCCAGCCUGAACUGAACAGAAAAAAACCCAUGGUGGACUAUUUCACGAAAGGAGCAAGUGGUAGCGCAGCUUUCACGUCCAGAUAUGGGCUCCUCUGGGUGUGGGACCUCACAUCAGCCUCAUGCUUCCAGACAGGUCAUUCAGCAGCAAGUCAACAGAAGCCUCCUCCCACCUUCAAAACCACUUUUGGUGAUAGGAAAUACAUCAAUCUGUUCAGAAAUCUUCACCCUUGGCCACUUCCUCUUUUGCACAUGGCUUAAUUGUUGGUAUUGUUGUUUGGUGUGACUACAAUAAAUACAAGUUAUAGUUGAUUGUUUUAAUAAAUAUUUCUGCUGAUCCUUA